rnacentral:rRNA from 1 species
GAUCAUGGCUCAGGAUGAACGCUAGCUACAGGCUUAACACAUGCAAGUCGAGGGGCAGCAUGGUCUUAGCUUGCUAAGGCCGAUGGCGACCGGCGCACGGGUGAGUAGCGCGUAUCCAACCUGCCUUACACUCUUGGACAGCCUUCUGAAAGGGAGAUUAAUACAAGAUGUUAUCAUGGGUAAGCAUUUUCGCAUGAUUAAAGGUUUACCGGUGUAAGAUGGGAGUGCGUUCC